rnacentral:rRNA from 1 species
UACGUAGGGUGCAAGCGUUGUCCGGAAUUAUUGGGCGUAAAGAGCUCGUAGGCGGUCUGUUACGUCCGCUGUGAAAACCCAGGGCUUAACCCUGGGCUUGCAGUGGAUACGGGCAGACUAGAGGCAGGUAGGGGAGAAUGGAAUUCCUGGUGUAGCGGUGAAAUGCGCAGAUAUCAGGAGGAACACCGGUGGCGAAGGCGGGUCUCUGGGCCGAUACUGACGCUGAGGAGCGAAAGCGUGGGGAGCGAACAGG